GCAUUAAGCACUCCGCCUGGGGAGUACGGUCGCAAGACUGAAACUCAAAGGAAUUGACGGGGGCCCGCACAAGCGGUGGAGCAUGUGGUUUAAUUCGAAGCAACGCGAAGAACCUUACCAGGUCUUGACAUCCUCUGACAACUCUAGAAGAAAAGCGUUCCCCUUCGGGGGACAAAAUGACAGGGGGUGCAUGGUUGCCUCACCUCCGGGCCGGGAAAUUUGGGUUAAGUCCCGCAACAAGCCCAACCCUUGAUUUUAUGUG
rnacentral:rRNA from 1 species